rnacentral:rRNA from 1 species
AAUAUUGCACAAUGGGCGCAAGCCUGAUGCAGCCAUGCCGCGUGUAUGAAGAAGGCCUUCGGGUUGUAAAGUACUUUCAGCAGUGAGGAAGGUGGGUAUGUUAAUAGCAUAUUCAUUUGACGUUAGCUGCAGAAGAAGCACCGGCUAACUCCGUGCCAGCAGCCGCGGUAAUACGGAGGGUGCGAGCGUUAAUCGGAAUUACUGGGCGUAAAGCGCAUGCAGGUGGUUUGUUAAGUCAGAUGUGAAAGCCCGGGGCUCAACCUCGGAAUUGCAUUUGAAACUGGCAAACUAGAGUACUGUAGAGGGGGUAGAAUUUCAGGUGUAGCGGUGAAAUGCGUAGAGAUCUGAAGGAAUACCGGUGGCGAAGUCGGCCCCCUGGACAGAUACUGACACUCAGAUGCGAAAGCGUGGGGAGCAAACAGGAUUAGAUACCCUGGUAG